GAAAAUUUACUCCGGCUUGUUAACUGCAAAUAAUUAAAUUACACGAGAAAUUACGUUGCCUCCUAUACCGUGUGUACUUAGCCUUAGCUCCCAAUUGCUGCGAGUCGACUUCUUAUGUUAGCAUACAUAAAUUAACCAGAGACUUUCCAGAUCAAAACAAGUGCAGACUUGAUUUUGGAUUACAAAAGGAGCGCACAAUUCACGCUGAUAAAAUUUAAAAGAGGGUAUGACUCACAAUGAGAAGAGAAUCAACUGGAUACAGGAGGGUUUGAUAGGUCUUGGUGUUGGCGUCCUCUUAAUGGAACUACAAGUGUGGCAGUGGGGCAUCCAUUUGAUACAAUCAAGACAAAGAUGCAAGCACAACAUGGAUUCGAAACAGAAGGAAUGUUCAAAUCAUUUGCAAAGACAGUCAAGUCACAGGGAAUGAGAGGGCUCUAUAGAGGAUGUAUUCCACCUCUUUGGGGAUCUGGAAUUUAUAGAUCAAGUCAGUUUGCUGUUUUUGAAGCCCUG